rnacentral:rRNA from 1 species
AUAGUUUGAUCCUGGUCAUAGCUGUUUCCUGACGGCAGGCCUAAUACAUGCAAGUCGAACGGUAACAUAAGAGCUUGCUCUUGAUGACGAGUGGCGCACGGGUGCGUAACGCGUAUGCAACCUACCCUUUACUGGAGGAUAGCCCGGAGAAAUUCGGAUUAAUACUCCAUAGUAUCAUAAGACAGCAUUGUUUAAUGAUUAAAGAUUUAUUGGUAAAGGAUGGGCAUGCGUGACAUUAGUUAGUUGGUGAGGUAACGGCUCACCAAGACGAUGAUGUCUAGGGGUUCUGAGAGGAUGAUCCCCCACACUGGUACUGAGACACGGACCAGACUCCUACGGGAGGCAGCAGUAGGGAAUAUUGGUCAAUGGGCGAGAGCCUGAACCAGCCAUGCCGCGUGUAGGAAGACGGCCUUCUGGGUUGUAAACUACUUUUAUAUAGGAACAAAUAGGCCAUGCGUGGCAAGUUGAGUGUACUAUAUGAAUAAGCACCGGCUAACUCCGUGCCAGCAGCCGCGGUAAUACGGAGGGUGCAAGCGUUGUCCGGAUUUAUUGGGUUUAAAGGGUGCGUAGGUGGCGUGUUAAGUCAGUGGUGAAAGCCUGCAGCUCAACUGUAGAGGUGCCAUUGAUACUGACAUGCUUGAGUAUGGACGAGGUAGGCGGAAUUUGUGGUGUAGCGGUGAAAUGCAUAGAUACCACAAAGAACACC